rnacentral:rRNA from 1 species
AGCGAACGCUGGCGGCAGGCCUAACACAUGCAAGUCGAACGAACUCUUCGGAGCUAGUGGCGGACGGGUGAGUAACACGUGGGAACGUGCCUUUUGGUUCGGAAUAACUCAGGGAAACUUGUGCUAAUACCGAAUGUGCCCUUCGGGGGAAAGAUUUAUCGCCAUUAGAGCGGCCCGCGUCUGAUUAGCUAGUUGGUGAGGUAACGGCUCACCAAGGCGACGAUCAGUAGCUGGUCUGAGAGGAUGACCAGCCACACUGGGACUGAGACACGGCCCAGACUCCUACGGGAGGCAGCAGUGGGGAAUCUUGCGCAAUGGGCGAAAGCCUGUCGCAGCCAUGCCGCGUGAAUGAUGAAGGUCUUAGGAUUGUAAAAUUCUUUCACCGGGGACGAUAAUGACGGUACCCGGAGAAGAAGCCCCGGCUAACUUCGUG